rnacentral:rRNA from 1 species
GACGAACGCUGGCGGCGUGCCUAAUACAUGCAAGUAGAACGCACAGUUUAUACCGUAGCUUGCUACACCAUAGACUGUGAGUUGCGAACGGGUGAGUAACGCGUAGGUAACCUGCCUGGUAGCGGGGGAUAACUAUUGGAAACGAUAGCUAAUACCGCAUAAUAUUAAUUAUUGCAUGAUAAUUAAUUGAAAGGUGCAAUUGCACCACUACCAGAUGGACCUGCGUUGUAUUAGCUAGUAGGUGAGGUAACGGCUCACCUAGGCGACGAUACAUAGCCGACCUGGGAGGGUGAUCGGCCACACUGGGACUGAGACACGGCCCAGACUCCUACGGGAGGCAGCAGUAGGAAAUCUUCGGCAAUGGACGAAAGUCUGACCGAGCAACGCCGCGUGAGUGAAGAAGGUUUUCGGAUCGUAAAGCUCUGUUGUAAGAGAAGAACGGGUGUGAGAGUGGAAAGUUCACACUGUGACGGUAUCUUACCAGAAAGGGACGGCUAACUACGUG